GAACAUUGACAUUUUGAACGCAUAUUGCGGUCCAUACUGAUUUGUUUCUUUACUGAAGCUGUAUGGACCACACAUGGUUGAGGGUCGUUAGAUUAUUUAACUAAAAUUGCAUUUUAACUAUGCAUUUACUAUUGGAUGUUUAUCAGACAAAAAUUUAUUUUUGUGUGGUAUCAUCUGGAAAUAUCAAAUUUAUUUUGAUACACAAAAUACAAUCAUUUAUUAUGAUUGAAAGGCGUUUAAAUUUAACAAUUUCAUCGCAAAUCAUAUAAUGAAUAAAAUGUAUUUUGAAUAAAAAAAUUCUAAUGCGACCUCAGCUCAUGUGAGAUU
rnacentral:rRNA from 1 species